UUUUUUUCGAACUGGACGUGCGGCAAAGCGUCAAUAGACAAGGAAAGCAUUUCAUUCGCCACAUGUAACUGAACCCCAGCGUAGACGCCUUAAGUUAAAAAUUUACUGAACUCCUUAGGUUCUAUUUCUUCGAGUGUAAAGAUCCUAAAGGUUUGAAACAUGCUUUAUGGGACAGAUUUUUUUUCUUUACUUGACAGAAAAAAAAUCGCUGAACUUCGCAUUAGAAGUGCUGGCGUCACAUUCUGGGCCCAUAGAAAAGACUUGCGUGCGCCAUGCGCUCUGCGAAGGUACUGCAAGCUUAUUUGAGGAUAUACGCAUAGCGAGACGGAACGAAGAGUUUAGAGGGCAUGUAUGUGUGUGCAAUUGCGCGUAGCCUUUGCGCCUUUCAGAAAUAAAUGCGCGUAUCAUAUUCCGCCGUAAACGUUUCUGACUAUUCGAUAAUAACAAGACUACAUGUUUUACCCAUCCGUAGGCGCUGGAUACGCAUCAGAGAAUUUGGACUAUUACAAGAAGCUAUCAUCCAGAAGGCCAUGGUGAUAAACACAAGUGCAUAUAUUUUGAAGCGCGUUUAACAAAACGCGCGUACUACAUAUUUGACCUCCACUACGAGACUGAUGAGAUUUGGAGGAGCCAACGAAGUUACGCCAAGAUAUUUGUUUCAAAACGUGGUCCCGUAAUGCGAGUUGGCCCGGAUCUCGCAAAAGGAACGUCUGACUACAUCCUCUAUCACUGGACGCCUCGAGAGCGAUGCGCCGUUUUGCUUCUCAUAUUAGCAGGAAAAGUGGAGUGUGAGAUGCACAUCUGGGAGGAUCAUACUAAACUCAUCGUGCCCCAGUGUCAAAAAGCGUAUGAAAGCCGCUGUGGCAAAAGAAAAUACAGUAUAUACAGCUCACGUUGCCAUCCGUGAAAAGAAAAAUGAGCACUCCUGAGUUUAUUUGGGAACGUUUUAUGAUGCAAAGUAAUAUGCAAUAAAUCGAAUUGCACGUACCUGCCCUAUGUCCCCCUGCUUCUAUUGAUUUUCUCUAUGCAUUCAUACUACAUUAUGGAACAGCGAAUAUGCCAAUCUCCCACCCGUCUGAAUUACAGGAAUCAAGGAUGUAAUCAGC